CCUACGGGAGGCAGCAGUGAGGAAUAUUGGUCAAUGGGCGCGAGCCUGAACCAGCCAAGUCGCGUGAAGGAUGACUGCCCUACGGGUUGUAAACUUCUUUUAUAGAGGAGUAAAGUGAGGCACGUGUGGCUUUUUGUAUGUCACAUAUGCAUAAGGAUCGGCUAACUCCGUGCCAGCAGCCGCGGUAAUACGGAGGAUCCGAGCGUUAUCCGGAUUUAUUGGGUUUAAAGGGAGCGUAGGUGGAUUGUUAAGUCAGUUGUGAAAGUUUGCGGCUCAACCGUAAAAUUGCAGUUGAAACUGGCAGUCUUGAGUACAGUAGAGGUGGGCGGAAUUCGUGGUGUAGCGGUGAAAUGCUUAGAUAUCACGAAGAACUCCGGUUGCGAAGGCAGCUCACUGGACUGCAACUGACACUGAGGCGCGAAAGUGUGGGUAUCAAACAGGAUUAGAUACCCUUGUAGUC
rnacentral:rRNA from 1 species